GCUGGAGUAGAGUAGUAGUUAACUCGUCGCCCUCCCACUGCGGAUAAGGCGGAAACCUGGGUGCAAAUCCCGGCUCUAGCA